rnacentral:misc_RNA from 1 species
UCUGACAGCCAUUUCCAUGCC